CAGUAGCCGCGGGAAAACGUAGGGCGCAAGCGUUGUCCGGAAUUAUUGGGCGUAAAGAGCUCGUAGGCGGUCUGUCGCGUCUGGUGUGAAAUCCCGAGGCUCAACCUCGGGCUUGCAUCGGGUACGGGCAGACUAGAGUGCGGUAGGGGAGACUGGAAUUCCUGGUGUAGCGGUGGAAUGCGCAGAUAUCAGGAGGAACACCGAUGGCGAAGGCAGGUCUCUGGGCCGCAACUGACGCUGAGGAGCGAAAGCAUGGGGAGCGAACAGGAUUAGAUACCCCUGUAGUCCCUGUCUCUUAUAC
rnacentral:rRNA from 1 species